GUGUUCGCUUCAGCAGCACAGUACUGAAAUUGGAAUGAUACAGAGAAGAUCAGCAUGACUCCUGUCCAAGAAUGACAUGCAAAUUCAUGAAAUGGUAAACACACAC
ensembl:snRNA Gm24593 predicted gene, 24593